rnacentral:lncRNA from 1 species
AUGACUAUAGAAAGGCCUUGGCAAGCUCUGCAACUUUACACUAGGGAAAGAUCCACGCUAAAAGCUGCUCGGAGGGAGCUGGAGUGGACAAGCCAGCAAGCCCCUGCUUCUCCAGCUGCACUAGGAAUUUCUGCUCCCGGACUGGCCCUUGCUCUCUUCCUAUUACCUCCCGUCGGAACUUCUAGUUCUCCACAGCUUGCUGCUGCCCCCUGCUGGAAUCCCAAUUUUCUGGGCUUGGAAAACUAGGCUUCCCUUCUGGCAGACCCUGGAAGAGAGGAUUCAGUCCGGCUUCCUCUCUUUGGAAUACACUUUCUAGAAGAAACCGUCCUGCGCCUCGAGACCCUACCAGAGUGGGAUUCUUGCUUCAGUUUUUGCUGCUAAUGAGGGCAUGUCUUAUUUUUUUUAAAUCCCAUUUCAACUUCCUCCUCUGUUUCUCCCUUUCUUCCCAAAGCCAUACUCAUGUGCUCCUGCGUGCAGAUUUUGUAGACUUGUAAAUGUGCCCUUCCCUCUCCCCCACACCUACCAUCCUUUCCCCAGCUCUGCUUGCCUCCUGCUUACUUGGGUGGAACCUUUAUCCAGGGUCAAGGCACACUCUGCCUCCACCCCCACCCUAUUGUCUUAGGUUCCCCCAAAGGCCCUCAGGUCUUCCAGUGGGCUACCUCCCAUAAGAGCAAAGGUCUCCCUACGCAUAAUUCUUUCUUAGUGACGCCACCACUUUCUCAACAUGGGCUCUAUUACUUAUACACCCCAGCCAUCUCUCCUUAUUUUGAAACAGGGUCUCACUGAAUUACUCGGGCUGGCUUUGAACUCACUCUAUAGUCCAGACAGGCCUUGAAUUUUCAAUUCUCCCAUCUCAGCCUCCCAGGUAGCUGGGAUAGCAAGCUGGCACUAAAAGGCUGCCCCUGCAAGGGUUGUCUUUAGGAUUCCCUCUUUCCUCUUGCAGAAAUUUUGGCUUUAGAGUCUCCUGGGAUGGGGGUAAGGUAAAAGAGCUCAGACAGCGGGAGUGGUGCCGCUGAGUAUGAAGCUGUGGUGGAGAGGCCGAGUGGAAGGCAGAUUCCCUGUAGGGGCCCAACUGGAGAGCUAAGAAAAAGAUUCCUAGACCAGGACAACCAGGGCAUGGGCCAUUCUUCCUACUUCCUACCCAGAGUGUGUCCAAAUUGAGGCUGUCCAUGGUGGGAGACCACCUCCCCUCGGCCUAAGGCUUGUGCUCUGAAGGGGUGCGCGUUUCCAGGGUGUGUUUUCAGUU